GUGAAUCAUCAAAUUUUUGAACGCAAAUUGCACUCUCCACGGAGAGUAUGACUGUUUGAGGGUGAGCGUAUAAAAAAUCGACAUCGUUGGUGUUUCGCGGUGACGUUCGUCGGAAAUUGGGUGAUCUUAAAUACUUUUGGUUUUAAGCGACUUAAAAAUUUAUUUUUGGUUCCAUGAAUGGUUCUAAGAUUUAUUUUUUUAUACGUUUAAGGUAUCGAUUUUUAUUAGAUGUGACCAUGAGAUCGGAUCGCGUGCAUAAUUUUUCAGUAAAU
rnacentral:misc_RNA from 1 species